rnacentral:rRNA from 1 species
GACGAACGCUGGCGGCGUGCUUAACACAUGCAAGUCGAACGGAAAGGCCCUGCUUUUGUGGGGUGCUCGAGUGGCGAACGGGUGAGUAACACGUGAGUAACCUGCCCUUGACUUUGGGAUAACUUCAGGAAACUGGGGCUAAUACCGGAUAGGAGCUCCUGCUGCAUGGUGGGGGUUGGAAAGUUUCGGCGGUUGGGGAUGGACUCGCGGCUUAUCAGCUUGUUGGUGGGGUAGUGGCUUACCAAGGCUUUGACGGGUAGCCGGCCUGAGAGGGUGACCGGCACAUUGGGGGAGGGGAACCGGCCAAGAAUCCUACGGGAGGGAGGGGGGGAGGAUGUAGCACAGGGGGGGGGAGCAGGAUGCAGCGGCGCGGGGGGGGGGAUGAGGUCCUUGGGGUUGAAACUCACUGUCGCCGGGGAAGAGGAGUGGGUGGAGGUGAUGGGAAAAGAAGCACCGAGUAACUACGUGACAGCGGCUGGGGUAAGAGAUCAGAAGAGCACAGGUGUAAA